rnacentral:misc_RNA from 1 species
GUAACAAGGUUUCCGUAGGUGAACCUGCGGAAGGAUCAUUACUGUGAUUUACUACUACACUGCGUGAGCGGAACGAAAACAACAACACCUAAAAUGUGGAAUAUAGCAUAUAGUCGACAAGAGAAAUCUACGAAAAAACAAACAAAACUUUCAACAACGGAUCUCUUGGUUCUCGCAUCGAUGAAGAGCGCAGCGAAAUGCGAUACCUAGUGUGAAUUGCAGCCAUCGUGAAUCAUCGAGUUCUUGAACGCACAUUGCGCCCCUCGGCAUUCCGGGGGGCAUGCCUGUUUGAGCGUCGUUUCCAUCUUGCGCGUGCGCAGAGUUGGGGGAGCGGAGCGGACGACGUGUAAAGAGCGUCGGAGCUGCGACUCGCCUGAAAGGGAGCGAAGCUGGCCGAGCGAACUAGACUUUUUUUCAGGGACGCUUGGCGGCCGAGAGCGAGUGUUGCGAGACAACAAAAAGCUCGACCUCAAAUCAGGUAGGAAUACCCGCUGAACUUAAGCAUAUCA